ACUAAGCUAAUCUAAAGAGUCACGUUAAUUUGUACACAAAAUUGAGCAAAUUCAAUUUUCGGGACAAUUCCAAACAGUAUAUAAGCUAACCCCCCUUCUUCAUCAGUACCGUUUUCUGCUCCCUCAGGCCUCAGCACCAGCUCAAGCUUUUAGCCAUGGAUUACCCUAAAACAGCAGUUCCUACUAACAUCUUCACUGAACGCGGGUCCAAUAUCGUCGUCAUCAAUCCAGGUUCCGCAAAUAUUAGAAUAGGAUUGGCUCAACAUGACACUCCAUUGAAUAUACCUCAUUGCAUAUCCCGUCGCACUAGUCAGUUACCGAAACGAAAUGCUCAAGAUCAAAUGCUGAAUUCUCAGGUUACGACUGCACAGCAUAUGGAAAGGGAAAGAGCUUAUGACAUUGUUGCGUCAUUAUUGAGAAUUCCAUUUUUGGAUGAGGAGGUAGCUAACAGUUCUUAUCCACGCAAGAUGGGGCGUGUAGACGCAUAUCCUCCGCAAAAUAACAUGAAAGAGCCAGUGUUCACUUGGACUGAUGUUUUUGAGAGAAAUGUCCCUCAUUCUUCAACAACAGCAGAAGAUGUACCCAACGAGGACGAUACCAGCGAGUCACCCACUCUGAAGGAAAGCAAGAUUAAGGUUGAACCUAAUUCCAGUGAACGUAAAUAUAGAGAGUACAUAUGUGGAGAGGAAGCUUUAAGAAUUUCCCCAACUGAACCAUAUUGCUUGCGGCGUCCUAUACGCCGAGGUCAUCUGAAUGUAUCUCAAUAUUAUCCGACGCAGCAGGUUCUCGAAGACCUGCAUACUAUAUGGGAGUGGAUUUUGGAUGAGAAAUUGCAUAUUUCUCAUCGUGAGAGAAGCAUGUAUUCUGCAAUCCUUGUUAUUCCAGAGACAUUUGACAAUCGUGAAAUCAAGGAAAUGCUAUCUAUCGUGUUGCGUGACUUACGGUUUGGUUCAGCAGUAGUCCACCAGGAAGGUCUUGCUGCAGUUUUUGGAAAUGGUUUAUCAACAGCAUGCAUUGUCAACAUGGGAGCUCAAGUGACAUCUGUUAUCUGUGUUGAGGAUGGAGUGGUUCUACCCACAACACAGAUAUCUUUACGGUUUGGUGGAGAGGAUAUAUCAAGAUGCCUUCUCUGGACUCAGAGGCAUCAUCAAACAUGGCCACCUAUUCGGACUGAUGCCCUGUCGAAGCCUGUAGAUUUGCUGAUGCUUAACAGACUUAAGGAGUCCUACUGUCAGAUCAAAGAGGGGGAAGUAGAAGCUGUUGCUAUGGUACAUUCAUAUGAAGAUGGAAUGCAACCUGGAUCUCAUAAGACUAGGCUGACUGCUCUUAAUGUUCCCCCAAUGGGUUUAUUUUACCCAAUGCUUUUGGUUCCAGAUGUCUAUCCUCCGCCACCUCGCUCUUGGUUUAACGAUUAUGAUGAUAUGCUUGAGGACACAUGGCACAUGGACUUCCCUGGUGGUGGUGCAUAUCCGAUGUGGGAGAGCUACCCAGUUUUCCAAACAAAGCCAAAGAAAGAAGAUAUUAUUGGACUUGCUGAAGCUAUUACAAAGAGCAUUCUUUUGACAGGGCGUAUUGAGCUACAGAGAAAGUUGUUUUGCAGCAUGCAACUGAUUGGUGGAGCUGCAUCGAUUUAUGGUCUCAUUCCUGCUGUGGAGGAAAGAGUUUUACAUGCAAUCCCUUCACAUGAAGCAAUUGACACUGUGGAGGUCUUGCAAUCGAGAACAAAUCCAGCAUUUGUGUCAUGGAAAGGCGGAGCAAUCCUCGGAAUUCUUGAUAUUAGUAGGGAGGCCUGGAUUCAUCGUGAGGACUGGAUUAAAAAUGGAAUUCACAUUGGCAGUGGGAGAAAGUACAAGGAUUCAUGUUAUCUUCAAGCUCAGGCAAUGUGCUACCUGAAUUCAUAAGAGCUUUCUGCAGGGUUAUGAGAUUUGAUAAAGAUCGAAACUGGAGCUUGCUAGCUUAUCUUGAAGACGAAAGAACUGAAAAGCCAAGUAGUCAUCAAAAUUCGGCGCAUUAGUCAAAAGCUAAACAAUUCGAUGACCUUUUCGUUGGAUUAAUUUAAAUAUGACUUGGUAUAACCAUUCUCACUGAAAUGGUCGGAAGCUUGUUAACUUUUUCAUAUACAAUAUAUUACUAUUAUUUUUUGUUUCACACUGAUCAUAUUCGUGAGAAUAGCUAGUGAAUAUUUAUAUUUUUCCGGGGAAAUUUUAGAGGGAAAAUAGCGAUUCUUUUCAAUAGUGUAGAUACUCAUCAAAGCUUCCUAUUAUUUCCGUAGGAAGAUGCUAUUAUUUUCCUCUCUCAUUCAAUUAAAAUAUCGAUAGGAAUAACUAUUAAACAUUUUUUAGUAGUAAAUUUCAAUGGAAAACUAGUGACUUUUAAAUAGUGAAAGUGGUAUGUGAGGGUUAAAAUGGUCAUUUGAGAAACGAUUACUAAUUUCUAUUUCAUGUACUACACACUUCUCUAAUACUUUUGAUAAUUUCUUCAUUACUUAAAAAAAAUUAUGGAUUAAUGUUUUCAAAACAUUAGUUGGUGCACCAAAAACAAAAUGGUAACAAAUUAAUCAAGAAUCAAUAAAAUUCUACUUCUCUUUAAUUUAAUUAUUAUGGAAGACAGCUUGUCAAUUAUAGAUUAAAUUGUGAUAUUUUAUUUAGUAAAGUGUUAAAGACUCUGUUGUUAUGUGAUUAAGAGGUUAUGGAUUCAAAUCACGAAACAACUUGCAGUAAAAAUUAGGAUAGAUUACGUAAGCUUGUCCAUUGAAGAUUAAAUUGUGAUAUUUCAUUUAGUAGAGUGUUAAGGAAGCUCUUGAGUCACUGGUUAAGUUAUUGUUAUGUGAUUAGAAGGUUAUGAAUUCAAAUGAAACAACUUCCAUUAGAAAUUAGAGUAAGAUUAUGUGCAAUAAAUUCUUAAGUUCGUUCUUUUUUUUUUUGCCCUAUUUGGUUGAUUAAUUUGAAUUGCUUAUUACAUAAAUUAAGAAAGGAAAAAGAUAAAAGUAGAAGAAAAUAUGCUAUAAAGAUUAAAGGGUGUGGAUAAAUUAUUUUAGUAUAGUCAAAAAUGUUCUUCAAUAUCUUGUAAAGUUAUAAAAACUAGUGUUAGGGGUUAAUUGAUUCCUACUUUUGUCUAUGCUUUUGGAUUGGGUCUUUGCUUGAGUCCAUUCAUUUCUGUAUAUUCUUUUUUCUUUUCUUUUUUUUUGUGUCAAAGGUGGUUUAAAUAUGACCCACCAUGGACACUUUGACUAGGGCACAUAAAGAAUAUUUAGAAAUUAUGUUUGUUCUUAACUGAUGUACUAAUUAAGUGAUCUUUUUGUUCCUAGAUAAGGUUGAAUAUCUUCGAGAUUAAAUUUAUAUUUUGUUUGAUUAAAGAUUUCUUAUCGAAAACAGUGAUACCCUGCUAA